GAUGAACGCUAGCUACAGGCUUAACACAUGCAAGUCGAGGGGCAGCGGGAUUGAAGCUUGCUUCAAUUGCCGGCGACCGGCGCACGGGUGAGUAACGCGUAUCCAACCUUCCGCUUACUCGGGGAUAGCCUUUCGAAAGAAAGAUUAAUACCCGAUGGUAUCUUAAGCACGCAUGAGAUUAAGAUUAAAGAUUUAUCGGUAUGAGAUGGCGAUGCGUCCCAUUAGCUUGUUGGUGGGGUAACGGCUCACCAAGGCAUCGAUGGGUAGGGGUUCCGAGAGGAAGGUCCCCCACAUUGGAACUGAGACACGGUCCAA
rnacentral:rRNA from 1 species